GUCCAAGUGUUACUGGGGCGAUUGAGAAGAAAAGGAAGAGCAGUGAAGCACCUAUAAUGGCAACAAUUUCGUAAUGAAGGUAGUGAGAGAAUUGUUGAUUUUUAAUUCAAGAUCCCGAUGCAAUGUAGGAUCUAUGAUCACAUAAUUUUGAGUUGGGUAUGGAUAGAUAUCCUGCGCCCUAUUCUUAAAAUUGGAGUCUUUUUCCAAGUGUGCACAAUGUUUUUGCAUUCUAACCAACCAUAUCUCUAAUGGGCCACCUUUCUCUCUCCAUCUCCCCACCUCUAUUAUCAUA
rnacentral:misc_RNA from 1 species